UACAGAGGUCUCAAGCGUUGUUCGGAUUCAUUGGGCGUAAAGGGUGCGUAGGUGGCGUCGUAAGUCAGGUGUGAAAUUUCGGAGCUUAACUUCGAAACUGCAUUUGAUACUGCGGUGCUUGAGGACUGGAGAGGAGACUGGAAUUUACGGUGUAGCGGUGAAAUGCGUAGAUAUCAGGAAGAACACCCGUGGCGAAGGCGGCUCUCUGGGAACGGUACUGGACGCUGAGACGCGAAAAGCCGUGGGGAGCGAACAGG
rnacentral:rRNA from 1 species